rnacentral:rRNA from 1 species
AAAUUGAAGAGUUUGAUCAUGGCUCAGAUUGAACGCUGGCGGCAGGCCUAACACAUGCAAGUCGAACGGUAACAGGAAACAGCUUGCUGUUUCGCUGACGAGUGGCGGACGGGUGAGUAAUGUCUGGGAAACUGCCUGAUGGAGGGGGAUAACUACUGGAAACGGUAGCUAAUACCGCAUAACGUCGCAAGACCAAAGAGGGGGACCUUCGGGCCUCUUGCCAUCAGAUGUGCCCAGAUGGGAUUAGCUAGUAGGUGGGGUAACGGCUCACCUAGGCGACGAUCCCUAGCUGGUCUGAGAGGAUGACCAGCCACACUGGAACUGAGACACGGUCCAGACUCCUACGGGAGGCAGCAGUGGGGAAUAUUGCACAAUGGGCGCAAGCCUGAUGCAGCCAUGCCGCGUGUAUGAAGAAGGCCUUCGGGUUGUAAAGUACUUUCAGCAGGGAGGAAGGGAGUAAAGUUAAUACCUUUGCUCAUUGACGUUACCCGCAGAAGAAGCACCGGCUAACUCCGUGCCAGCAGCCGCGGUAAUACGGAGGGUGCAAGCGUUAAUCGGAAUUACUGGGCGUAAAGCGCACGCAGGCGGUUUGUUAAGUCAGAUGUGAAAUCCCCGGGCUCAACCUGGGAACUGCAUCUGAUACUGGCAAGCUUGAGUCUCGUAGAGGGGGGUAGAAUUCCAGGUGUAGCGGUGAAAUGCGUAGAGAUCUGGAGGAAUACCGGUGGCGAAGGCGGCCCCCUGGACGAAGACUGACGCUCAGGUGCGAAAGCGUGGGGAGCAAACAGGAUUAGAUACCCUGGUAGUCCACGCCGUAAACGAUGUCGACUUGGAGGUUGUGCCCUUGAGGCGUGGCUUCCGGAGCUAACGCGUUAAGUCGACCGCCUGGGGAGUACGGCCGCAAGGUUAAAACUCAAAUGAAUUGACGGGGGCCCGCACAAGCGGUGGAGCAUGUGGUUUAAUUCGAUGCAACGCGAAGAACCUUACCUGGUCUUGACAUCCACGGAAGUUUUCAGAGAUGAGAAUGUGCCUUCGGGAACCGUGAGACAGGUGCUGCAUGGCUGUCGUCAGCUCGUGUUGUGAAAUGUUGGGUUAAGUCCCGCAACGAGCGCAACCCUUAUCCUUUGUUGCCAGCGGUCCGGCCGGGAACUCAAAGGAGACUGCCAGUGAUAAACUGGAGGAAGGUGGGGAUGACGUCAAGUCAUCAUGGCCCUUACGACCAGGGCUACACACGUGCUACAAUGGCGCAUACAAAGAGAAGCGACCUCGCGAGAGCAAGCGGACCUCAUAAAGUGCGUCGUAGUCCGGAUUGGAGUCUGCAACUCGACUCCAUGAAGUCGGAAUCGCUAGUAAUCGUGGAUCAGAAUGCCACGGUGAAUACGUUCCCGGGCCUUGUACACACCGCCCGUCACACCAUGGGAGUGGGUUGCAAAAGAAGUAGGUAGCUUAACCUUCGGGAGGGCGCUUACCACUUUGUGAUUCAUGACUGGGGUGAAGUCGUAACAAGGUAACCGUAGGGGAACCUGCGGUUGGAUCACCUCCUUA